rnacentral:rRNA from 1 species
GACGUAGGGCGCGAGCGUUGUCCGGAUUUAUUGGGCGUAAAGAGCUCGUAGGCGGUGUGUCACGUCGGCCGUGAAAACCUGCAGCUUAACUGUGGGCGUGCGGUCGAUACGGGCAUCACUGGAGUUCGGCAGGGGAGACUGGAAUUCCUGGUGUAGCGGUGAAAUGCGCAGAUAUCAGGAGGACACCGGUGGCGAAGGCGGGUCUCUGGGCCGAUACUGACGCUGAGGAGCGAAAAGCCGUGGGGAGCAAACAGG